rnacentral:rRNA from 1 species
UGCGUAGGCGGAAUAUUAAGUCAGUGGUGAAAUCCCAGAGCUCAACUCUGGAACUGCCAUUGAAACUGGUAUUCUUGAAUAUAGUUGAGGUAGGCGGAAUGUGUAAUGUAGCGGUGAAAUGCUUAGAUAUUACACAGAACACCGAUUGCGAAGGCAGCUUACUAAACUAUGAUUGACGCUGAUGCACGAAAGCGUGGGGAGCGAACAGGAUUAGAUACCCUGGUAGUCC